AACGUAGGUGGCAAGCGUUAUCCGGAUUUACUGGGCGUAAAGCGUGUGCAGGCGGGUGGACAAGUGGUGUAUGAAAUCGCCAGGCUAAACCUGGCGGGGUUAUGCCAGACUGUCCGUCUGGAGUGCGAGAGAGGGGCGUGGAAUUCCUGGUGUAGCAGUGAAAUGCGUAGAUAUCAGGAGGAACACCGAUGGCGAAGGCAGGUCUCUGGGCUGACACUGACGCUCAUGCACGAAAGCGUGGGGAGCAAACAGG
rnacentral:rRNA from 1 species